CGGGGUGUAGCGCAGCCUGGUAGCGCAACUGGUUUGUGACCAGUAGGUCGCGAGUUCGAAUCCCGCCACCCCGACCA
rnacentral:tRNA from 1 species